rnacentral:rRNA from 1 species
AUUGAACGCUGGCGGCAUGCCUUACACAUGCAAGUCGAACGGCAGCACGGGAGCAAUCCUGAUGGCGAGUGGCGAACGGGUGAGUAAAGUAUCGGAACGUGCCCAGUCGUGGGGGAUAACGUAGCGAAAGUUACGCUAAUACCGCAUACGAUCUAUGGAUGAAAGCGGGGGAUUGCAAGACCUCGAGCGAUUGGAGCGGCCGAUAUCAGAUUAGGUAGUUGGUGGGGUAAAGGCACACCAAUCGGACGAUCUGUACCUGGUCUGAGAGGACGACCAGCCACACUGGGACUGAGACACGGGCAAGAGUCCUACGGGAGGCAGCAGUGGGGAAUUUUGGACAAUGGGCGAAAGCAUGAUCCAGCCAUGCCGCGUGCAGGAUGAAGGCCUUCGGGUUGUAAACUGCUUUUGUACGGAACGAAAAGGUUUGGCCUAAUAAGCUGAGCUCAUGACGGUACCGUAAGAAUAAGCACCGGCUAACUACGUGCCAGCCGCCGCCGUAA